rnacentral:rRNA from 1 species
CCCUUAGAGUUUGAUCCUGGCUCAGGACGAACGCUGGCGGCGCGCCUAACACAUGCAAGUCGAACGAGAGAUGAGGAGCUUGCUCUUCAAAUCGAGUGGCGAACGGGUGAGUAACGCGUGAGGAACCUGCCUCAAAGAGGGGGACAACAGUUGGAAACGACUGCUAAUACCGCAUAAGCCCACGGCUCGGCAUCGAGCAGAGGGAAAAGGAGUGAUCCGCUUUGAGAUGGCCUCGCGUCCGAUUAGCUAGUUGGUGAGGUAACGGCCCACCAAGGCGACGAUCGGUAGCCGGACUGAGAGGUUGAACGGCCACAUUGGGACUGAGACACGGCCCAGACUCCUACGGGAGGCAGCAGUGGGGAAUAUUGCACAAUGGGGGAAACCCUGAUGCAGCGACGCCGCGUGGAGGAAGAAGGUCUUCGGAUUGUAAACCCCUGUUGUUGAGGA